UACGUAGGGGGCAAGCGUUGUCCGGAUUUAUUGGGCGUAAAGAGCGUGUAGGCGGCCAGGUAGGUCCGUUGUGAAAACUCGAGGCUCAACCUCGAGACGUCGGCGGAAACCCUCUGGCUAGAGUCCGGAAGAGGAGAGUGGAAUUCCUGGUGUAGCGGUGAAAUGCGCAGAUAUCAGGAAGAACACCCGUGGCGAAGGCGGCUCUCUGGGACGGUACUGACGCUGAGACGCGAAAGCGUGGGGAGCAAACAGGAU
rnacentral:rRNA from 1 species